rnacentral:rRNA from 1 species
AGAACGAACGCUGGCGGCAUGCCUAACACAUGCAAGUCGAACGAGACCUUCGGGGUCUAGUGGCGCACGGGUGCGUAACGCGUGGGAAUCUGCCCUUGGGUUCGGGAUAACAGUUGGAAACGACUGCUAAUACCGGAUAAUGACUUCGGUCCAAAGAUUUAUUGCCCAGGGAUGAGCCCGCGUAGGAUUAGCUAGUGGUGAGGUAAGGCUCACGAAGGCGACGAUCCUAGCUGGUCUGAGAGGAUGAUCAGCCACACGUGGGACUGAGACACGGCCCAGACUCCGUACGGGAGCCAGCCGAGGUAGGGGAAUAGUAGGAACGAAGUGGGACGAAAGCCUAGACUCGA